rnacentral:rRNA from 1 species
UGAUGCAUCCAUGCCAUCUUGUACAAUUCAGCGGGAGCUAAGCAGAAUUGGGUGGGGUUAGUACUUAGAUGGGGCUCUCCAAGACACACACAGCUGCUUCAG